UUGUUAACAUGAUUUGUCUGUUUUAUUUUACUGAAUAACCAUAAAAGACUAAAUAAUUUUAAAUUUCUUUGAAUUGUAAAAAAUUGAUCUUAGAGCAAGUCCACCCGGGGUGGGAUAGGCCGGCACCCAGUGGAAAAAACAGGCUGAGACUCAGCCAAUCCACUCCAGCUCGUGGAAUCGACUGGCACCCAGCCCAAGCCAGUCCACAGGCCGGCCUAAAAUCGACAGACCUUGGGACCGGCUCAAGUGACGCCUAGUUGACACCAGCGUGGUGUCGGAGGGCAAGGAGCCACGGAGCCAUCAACAUCGCGAAGCUCGCCUCACUCUCAAAACCCCCCUCUUGUCCACCGGCGGCGGCUACUUCACCACCGCGAGCGACUUCUGCCCGCUUCCCGCUUCCCGUCCCGUGAGCUCCUUCAAAUCUGCAUGUGCAUUUCCUCCAAAUCUGACUGCCUCCCGCAAUUCAACCACCUAAGAUUGGAACUUUUGAGCUUUUCUGGGAAAGUGGAUUCUGGGAUUGGAGUUUUGGGGUUGGAGCAGUGAUUCUGAGGGUCGGGUUUUUUUUGUGUGGAAGGGAUGGGAAGUUGCAG
rnacentral:lncRNA from 1 species